rnacentral:rRNA from 1 species
GAUGAACGCUGGCGGCGUGCCUAAUACAUGCAAGUCGAGCGAACGGACGAGAAGCUUGCUUCUCUGAUGUUAGCGGCGGACGGGUGAGUAACACGUGGAUAACCUACCUAUAAGACUGGGAUAACUUCGGGAAACCGGAGCUAAUACCGGAUAAUAUUUUGAACCGCAUGGUUCAAAAGUGAAAGACGGUCUUGCUGUCACUUAUAGAUGGAUCCGCGCUGCAUUAGCUAGUUGGUAAGGUAACGGCUUACCAAGGCAACGAUGCAUAGCCGACCUGAGAGGGUGAUCGGCCACACUGGAACCGAGACACGGUCCAGACACCUACGGGAGGCAGCAGUAGGGAAUCUUCCGCAAUGGGCGAAAGCCUGACGGAGCAACGCCGCGUGAGUGAUGAAGGUCUUCGGAUCGUAAAACUCUGUUAUUAGGGAAGAACAUAUGUGUAAGUAACUGUGCACAUCUUGACGGUACCUAAUCAGAAAGCCACGGCUAACUACGUG